rnacentral:rRNA from 1 species
AGGCAGCAGUGGGGAAUAUUGCACAAUGGGCGAAAGCCUGAUGCAGCGACGCCGCGUGGGGGAUGACGGUCUUCGGAUUGUAAACCCCUUUCAGUAGGGACGAAGCGCAAGUGACGGUACCUGCAGAAGAAGCACCGGCUAACUACGUGCCAGCAGCCGCGGUAAUACGUAGGGUGCGAGCGUUGUCCGGAAUUACUGGGCGUAAAGAGCUCGUAGGCGGUUUGUCACGUCGUCUGUGAAAUCCCUCGGCUUAACCGGGGGCGUGCAGGCGAUACGGGCAGACUUGAGUACUACAGGGGAGACUGGAAUUCCUGGUGUAGCGGUGAAAUGCGCAGAUAUCAGGAGGAACACCGGUGGCGAAGGCGGGUCUCUGGGUAGUAACUGACGCUGAGGAGCGAAAGCAUGGGUAGCGAACAGGAUUAGAUACCCUGGUAGUCCAUGCCGUAAACGGUGGGCGCUAGGUGUGGGGUCCUUCCACGGACUCCGUGCCGUAGCUAACGCAUUAAGCGCCCCGCCUGGGGAGUACGGCCGCAAGGCUAAAACUC